rnacentral:rRNA from 1 species
GACGAACGCUGGCGGCGUGCUUAACACAUGCAAGUCGAACGGAAAGGCCCUGCUUUUGUGGGGUGCUCGAGUGGCGAACGGGUGAGUAACACGUGAGUAACCUGCCCUUGACUUUGGGAUAACUUCAGGAAACUGGGGCUAAUACCGGAUAGGAUCUCCUGCUGCAUGGUGGGGGUUGGAAAGUUUCGGCGGUUGGGGAUGGACUCGCGGCUUAUCAGCUUGUUGGUGGGGUAGUGGCUUACCAAGGCUUUGACGGGUAGCCGGCCUGAGAGGGUGGCCGGCCACAUUGGGACUGAGAGACGGCCCAGACUCCUACGGGAGGCAGCAGUGGGGAAUAUUGCACAAUGGGCGGAAGCCUGAUGCAGCAACGCCGCGUGCGGGAUGACGGCCUUCGGGUUGUAAACCGCUUUCGCCUGUGACGAAGCGUGAGUGACGGUAAUGGGUAAAGAAGCACCGGCUAACUACGUG